CCUACGGGAGGCAGCAGUGGGGAAUUUUGGACAAUGGGGGCAACCCUGAUCCAGCCAUGCCGCGUGAGUGAAGAAGGCCUUCGGGUUGUAAAGCUCUUUCGGCCGGAACGAAAUCGCGCACGUGAAUAACGUGCGUGGAUGACGGUACCGGAGUAAGAAGCACCGGCUAACUACGUGCCAGCAGCCGCGGUAAUACGUAGGGUGCGAGCGUUAAUCGGAAUUACUGGGCGUAAAGCGUGCGCAGGCGGUUCGCUAAGUCAGACGUGAAAGCCCCGGGCUUAACCUGGGAACGGCGUUUGAAACUGGCGGGCUCGAGUACGGCAGAGGGGGGUGGAAUUCCACGUGUAGCAGUGAAAUGCGUAGAUAUGUGGAGGAACACCGAUGGCGAAGGCAGCCCCCUGGGCCGAUACUGACGCUCAUGCACGAAAGCGUGGGGAGCAAACAGGAUUAGAUACCCUGGUAGUCCACGCCCUAAACUAUGUCAACUAGUUGUCGGGGAAGCAAUUCCUUGGUAACGCAGCUAACGCGUGAAGUUGACCGCCGCGGGAGGUACGGUCGCGAAGAAGUUAAAACGUAACUAAAUAGUAAGUUAGUUACGGUCGUUGAGACGUUGCCGACGGACGACGACGAGGGAGGAGG
rnacentral:rRNA from 1 species